GACGAACGCUGGCGGCGUGCUUAACACAUGCAAGUCGAACGGAAAGGCCCUGCUUGCAGGGUCCUCGGGUGGCGAACGGGUGAGUAACACGUGGGUGAUCCGCCCUCCACUUCGGGAUAGGCCUGGGAAACUGGGUCUAUACCCGGAUAGCAGCCAUUUUUUGUGUGUUGGUUGGAAAGUUUUUUCGGUGUAGGGUGAGCUCGCGGCCUAUCGGCUUGUUGGUGGGGUAAUGGCCUACCAAGGCGGCGACGGGUAGCCGGCCUGAGAGGGUGGACGGCCACAUUGGGACUGAGAGACGGCCCAGACGCCUACGGGAGGCAGCAGUGGGGAAUAUUGCACAAUGGGCGCAAGCCUGAUGCAGCGACGCCGCGGGGGGGAGGACGGCCUUCGGGUUGUAAACUCCUUUCGCUAGGGACGAAGCUUUUUGUGACGGUACCUAGAUAAGAAGCACCGGCUAACUACGUG
rnacentral:rRNA from 1 species